rnacentral:rRNA from 1 species
GACGAACGCUGGCGGCGUGCUUAACACAUGCAAGUCGAACGAUGAAGCCGGAGCUUGCUCUGGUGAAUUAGUGGCGAACGGGUGAGUAACACGUGAGUAACCUGCCCUUGACUCUGGGAUAACUGCGGGAAACUGUAGCUAAUACCGGAUACGACCCUCGGAGGCAUCUCCUGGGGGUGGAAAGAAUUUCGGUCAAGGAUGGACUCGUGGCCUAUCAGCUAGUUGGUGAGGUAAAGGCUCACCAAGGCGACGACGGGUAGCCGGCCUGAGAGGGUGACCGGCCACACUGGGACUGAGACACGGCCCAGACUCCUACGGGAGGCAGCAGUGGGGAAUAUUGCACAAUGGGCGCGAGCCUGAUGCAGCAACGCCGCGUGAGGGAUGACGGCCUUCGGGUUGUAAACCUCUUUUAGCAGGGAAGAAGCGAAAGUGACGGUACCUGCAGAAAAAGCACCGGCUAACUACGUGCCAGCCGCCGCGGUAA